GGGAACAUACCCUUUUCUACGGAAUAGCUCUGGGAAACUGGAAUUAAUACCGUAUACGCCCUACGGGGGAAAGAUUUAUCGGGGAAGGAUUGGCCCGCGUUGGAUUAGCUAGUUGGUGGGGUAAAGGCCUACCAAGGCGACGAUCCAUAGCUGGUCUGAGAGGAUGAUCAGCCACAUUGGGACUGAGACACGGCCCAAACUCCUACGGGAGGCAGCAGUGGGGAAUAUUGGACAAUGGGCGCAAGCCUGAUCCAGCCAUGCCGCGUGAGUGAUGAAGGCCUUAGGGUUGUAAAGCUCUUUCACCGAUGAAGAUAAUGACGGUAGUCGGAGAAGAAGCCCCGGCUAACUUCGUGCCAGCAGCCGCGGUAAUACGAAGGGGGCUAGCGUUGUUCGGAAUUACUGGGCGUAAAGCGCACGUAGGCGGAUAUUUAAGUCAGGGGUGAAAUCCCAGAGCUCAACUCUGGAACUGCCUUUGAUACUGGGUAUCUUGAGUAUGGAAGAGGUAAGUGGAGUUGCGAGU
rnacentral:rRNA from 1 species